AUUGAACGCUGGCGGCAGGCCUAACACAUGCAACUCGAACGAGUUGCGGACGGGUGAGUACUGUCUGGGCAACUGCCUGAUGGAGGGGGAUAACUACUGGAAACGGUAGCUAACACCGCCUACCUUCGGGUGUGCCCAGAUGGGAUUAGCUAGGAGGUGGGGUAAAGGCUCACCUCGGCGACGAUGCCUAGCUGGUCUGAGAGGAUGACCAGCCACACGGGAACUGAGACACGGGCCAGACUCCUACGGGAGGCAGCAGUGGGGAAUAUUCCACAAUGGGCGAAAGCCUGAGGCAGCCAUGCCGCGGGGAUGAAGAAGGCUUUCGGGUGGUAAAGUACUGUCAGCGGGGAGGCGUUACCCGCAGAGGAAGCACCGGCGAACUCCGUGCCAGCAGCCGCGGUAAUUC
rnacentral:rRNA from 1 species